UACAGAGGGUGCAAGCGUUGCUCGGAAUCAUUGGGCGUAAAGGGCAGGUAGGUGGUCUGAUUUGUCUGGCGGUGAAAUCCUUGAGCUUAACUCAAGAAGUGCCCCGGAAACGGUCAGACUUAGAGUCUUGGAGAGGGUGGCGGAAUUCCCGGUGUAGCGGUGAAAUGCGUAGAGAUCGGGAGGAACACCAGUGGCGAAGGCGACUACCUGGCCUGUUCUUGACGCUGAGGCGCGAAAGCUAGGGGAGCAAACGGG
rnacentral:rRNA from 1 species